rnacentral:rRNA from 1 species
CCUACGGGGGGCAGCAGUGAGGAAUAUUGGUCAAUGGGCGCGAGCCUGAACCAGCCAAGUAGCGUGAGGGAAGACUGCCCUACGGGUUGUAAACUUCUUUUGUCGAGGAAUAAAGUGAGACACGUGUGCCUUAUUGUGUGUACUUUAUGAAUAAGGAUCGGCUAACUCCGUGCCAGCAGCCGCGGUAAUACGGAGGAGCCGAGCGUUAUCCGGAUUUAUUGGGUUUAAAGGGUGCGUAGGUGGGUUGUUAAGUCAGUGGUGAAAGUUUGCGGCUCAACCGUGAAAUUGCAAUUGAAACUGGAAGCCUUGAGUACAGUUGAGGUAGGCGGAAUUCGUGGUGUAGCGGUGAAAUGCUUAGAUAUCACGAAGAACUCCGAUUGCGAAGGCAGCUUACUAAACCGCAACUGACAUUGAUGCUCGAAAGCGUGGGUAUCAAACAGGAUUAGAUACCCCAGUAGUC